GAUGAAGAACGUAGCGAAAUGCGAUAAGUAAUGUGAAUUGCAGAAUUCAGUGAAUCAUCGAAUCUUUGAACGCACAUUGCGCCCGCCAGUAUUCUGGCGGGCAUGCCUAUUCGAGCGUCAUUACAACCCUCAGGCCCCCGGGCCUGGCGUUGGGGAUCGGCGGAGCCCCCCGUGGGCACACGCCGUCCCCCAAAUGCAGUGGCGGUCCCGCCGCAGCUUCCAUCGCGUAGUAGCUAACACCUCGCGACUGGAGAGCGGCGCGGCCACGCCGUAAAACACCCAACUCUUCUGAAGUUGACCUCGAAUCAGGUAGGAAUACCCGCUGAACUUAAGCAUAUCAAUAAGCGGAGGA
rnacentral:misc_RNA from 1 species